rnacentral:rRNA from 1 species
AUUGAACGCUGGCGGCAUGCCUUACACAUGCAAGUCGAACGGCAGCGCGGACUUCGGUCUGGCGGCGAGUGGCGAACGGGUGAGUAAUGCAUCGGAACGUACCUUUCAGUGGGGGAUAACGUAGCGAAAGUUACGCUAAUACCGCAUAUUCUGUGAGCAGGAAAGCAGGGGAUCGCAAGACCUUGCGCUGAUUGAGCGGCCGAUGUCAGAUUAGCUAGUUGGUGAGGUAAAGGCUCACCAAGGCGACGAUCUGUAGCGGGUCUGAGAGGAGGAUCCGCCACACUGGGACUGGGACACGGCCCAGACUCCUACGGGAGGCAGCAGUGGGGAAUUUUGGACAAUGGGGGCAACCCUGAUCCAGCCAUGCCGCGUGAGUGAAGAAGGCCUUCGGGUUGUAAAGCUCUUUCGGCCGGGAAGAAAUCGCAUGGGUUAAUACCCUGUGUGGAUGACGGUACCGGAAUAAGAAGCACCGGCUAACUACGUGCCAGCCGCCGCGGUAAAAC